UGUUGUCACAAGGUCUCUAUGGGAGCACGUGGAGAGGGCUCUAUA
rnacentral:rRNA from 1 species